rnacentral:lncRNA from 1 species
AAGAAUUAAGAGAGAAUAUGGAGUUAGAUUGGGAAAAUAAAAUUAGUAUUGAUAAGGGAUUAAAUUAGAAUUUAGGUAAAGCUUAGGUAUAAAUGGAAAUGUUUUGAUGAAAUUGUGUAUUAAUAAUUUUUAAUUGUUUAAUUACGUAGCUAAUAUCGUGCAAGAGUCAUUGCCGAGAAAGGAAAGGGGAAGGUGAUCAAGGAGUGACUCGAGAAAAUUUACAGUUAGUAUUACCAUAAUUCGAAUUUAAUUAUUAAUUGUUAAAAUUUAAAUUAAUAUACAUGAUAAGAAAAUUGAGGUGAGUAUCAUGAUUGAAUCGAAUGAAAUAUAUAUAUAUAUAUAUACAUAUUGAUAUUGAAUUUAUUGAUAGUAAUUGUUGAAUUUUGAAUAAUAUGUUUAGUAAAUAAAAAUAAGGAGAAUAUCGAUAUUUAAUUGAAUGAAUUAAAAAUAUGAAUUGAAUAAAAGUGAAUUAAAUUAUGAAUAAGUGUGAAUACGUGAAUUGAGUAUUGACUGAAAAGUGGUUUGAUUCGAAUCGAGGUAUGAUUUGUGAAAUAUGUAUUGGUGCUGAAUUGUAUAUUGAUUUGAAAGUGGGAAGUGAAUUUGAAAUAGAAAAAUAUAUUGAAUCAAAUGGUGAUUAAAUUGUAUAAUGAUUUGAAUUGAAAGUAUGAGAAAGUGAUUGAAUUGAAAUGUGAUUCGGAAACCCUAUUAACUAGUUGGGCUGAGUCGGAUAUAGUUGGCAUGCCAUAGGAUUGGAAGUGUUCAGGGAUACUUCGACCUUGAGUCGAUGAGACACUGGGUGUCAUACUGUUACUUCGGAUAGAUUCGAUGAGGUACUAGGUACCAACUUACUUCGGCUUUGCCGAUGAGACACUGGGUGUCAACUAUUGCUUCGAACUAUCCGAUGAGGCACUGGGUGCCGUACUGGUGUGUUUGGUUGGAUCCGUGUAUCCGCCAAAGUCCGAGUCAUGUUAAUAGGGGGAAAAUAAAAGAAUUGAAGAAAGAAAUGAUAUUGAAUUAUGAAUUAUGUGAAUAUUUGAAGGUAUAUGGAUUGGAAAUUAAAAGCAAUUUGAAUUGAAGUAAAUUGAUUUGAAAUAAGACAUUGAAUUGAGAUGUGAAAAUGGAAUGUGAGAAUUAUGGUUCAAGAAACAAAUAAUGAUAAAUUUUAUGAAAUAGUUUUUGGUAAUAUGAAAUGAUGUAAAAAUGACAAGUGAAAAUAAAAUGAUUUGAAAUAGUGAAA